AAUCAACGCUGGCGGCGUGCCUCAGACAUGCAAGUCGAACGCGAAAUUUCCCUUCGGGGAGAAAGUAGAGUGGCGCACGGGUGAGUAACACGUAGGUAAUUUGCCUUUGGGUGGGGAAUAACUCAGGGAAACUUGAGCUAAUACCGCAUAAUGCAGCGGCUCGACAUCGAGACAGUUGUUAAGGCGGGGGAGUUGGAGCAAUCCGACCUCGCGCCUAAAGAGAAGCCUGCGGCAGAUUAGCUAGUUGGUAAGGUAAUGGCUUACCAAGGCGACGAUCUGUAACCGGCCUGAGAGGGCGGUCGGUCACACUGACACUGACAUAC
rnacentral:rRNA from 1 species